ensembl:lncRNA
CACCAGCCUGCGCGCGGCGAGGAGGAGAGAGAGAGCCGAGGGGAAGAGAUGACUCGCGAGCAGGACUUAUCCGAGUGAGGAGCUGAACACAGAGAGGGACCCCAUCAUGGAAGAGGAGCUGCCCGCACCUAAGGAUGCAAUAAGUGUCUGUCGUUUCUGCGCGGCAGGAUCGAAAUCAGAUGACGCAGAACAGCGAGGUGGAAACGUGUCACGUCCCUCGCAGGACAGGAGACUGCAAGAGGAUUGAUGCUGUCUCCAAAAGCUCCUCCAGGCCUUCAGCCUCCCAUGGCCACAGCAGACCCCUCAGAGCGAGGGAUGAACCAACACGGUAGUGAGGAAGAAGAAGAAGAAGAAGAGGCAUCGGAGGACGAAAUCCUUCCCGCCCUUUUUCAGCCCUCAACCGCCUCUCAGCAUCAUGGCAUCGCAGCAUCACGGCGUCACGGCGUCCGG